rnacentral:rRNA from 1 species
CAGUCGUACCUAUGGGUAAUCAGCCUUUUGGGUGUGAUUUUGUGGAGCGUGAGGAGUUAAACGCCUUCAUGCCUGCAUAUUCGUGCACUUUGGGUGUACUUGCCCGUAUGGUUGGUUAACAUCAAUUUUGGUGGUCAUAAAAUGACUGGAGGAAUGUAGCUUCGAUCUCGUAUUGAAGUGUUAUAGCCUUCGGUAGAUGUGAUGAUCGAGAUUGAGGAUUGCAACGGAUACCUUUCGGGGCUACCUGUCUGGUCUCUGAUCGUUGCUCUGGUGCCGAAAGCUUGCUUACGGUUAUCAAAGUCGAUGGUCAAUAGGUUAGAACGGGUUAAA